GGAAGAAGAAGCUCUGGAGAAAUUAAUGAUUCGCCUUAACCUUAUCUUGAUGGAGGAAGGUUGGUCUCCCCCCACAGAUAACAAAAGUUUCCUGCGCAACAACUCUGAGCCCUGGUAACACUUCAUGAUAAGCAGGUUCGGGUGUAUUUUAAGUAUUCACUUGUGGAAUCUACGCCUCCAAAGUGUCUAAAAAUGGACAAAUCCUUUGUAGGAUACUGUAACUAAUGUAUCAAAGAAUAGGUUAAAUGUAACACAAAAUUCAGUGUCAUGUGUAUAGGAGGAUGCUAUAGUC
rnacentral:misc_RNA from 1 species